rnacentral:snoRNA from 1 species
ACAUGGGUGAGGUACGAGGAAACAGUCUGAUAGUCACUGAAGACUGAUUAGAUCCAACUCUGAUCUCAGCAAAGCC